rnacentral:rRNA from 1 species
CUGGUUGAUCCUGCCAGUAGCAUAUGCUUGUCUAAAAGAUUAAGCCAUGCAUGUCUAAGUAUAGAUAAUCUAACUUCGAAACUGCGAAUGGCUCAUUAAACUAGUCAAAAUCUAUCCGUUGAAUAAUCUACUUGGAUAACCGAAGUAAUUCUUGGGCUAAUACAUGCAAAAAGUACCGACUGCGGUAACGUGGAAGGUAUGAGCAUCUUAGCCUACAAAAUCAGUGCUGGCCACUCCAAACUACGGCAGGCAACUGUCGUGGGGUCAGGUUUUUGGUGAUUCAUAAGAUAAACUCAGAGCGCAGGGCUUGUCUCGGCGCUACCACGGGUGAUUGGCUAACCCAUCAACUAUGUUGGCAGUGUAGGGGACUGCCAUGGUCGUAACGGGUAACGGGGAAUAAGGGUUCGAUUCCGGAGAGGGAGCCUGAGAAAUGGCUACCACUUCCAAGGAAGGCAGCAGGCGCGCAAAUUACCCAAUCGCGAUUCGCGGAGGUAGUGACAAGAAAUAGCAUUGUAGGACGCUACGCGUACUACAUUUGCAAUGAGUACAAUGUAAAUAGAUUAACAAGGAUCAACUAGAGGGCAAGUCUGGUGCCA